rnacentral:rRNA from 1 species
CGCGGCCUAUCAGCUUGUUGGUGGGGUAAUGGGCUACCAAGGCGGCGACGGGUAGCCGGCCUGAGAGGGUGUACGGCCACAUUGGGACUGAGAUACGGCCCAGACUCCUACGGGAGGCAGCAGUGGGGAAUAUUGCACAAUGGGCGCAAGCCUGAUGCAGCGACGCCGCGUGGGGGAUGAAGGCCUUCGGGUUGUAAACUCCUUUCGCUAGGGACGAAGCUUUUUGUGACGGUACCUAGAUAAGAAGCACCGGCUAACUACGUGCCAGCAGCCGCGGUAAUACGUAGGGUGCGAGCGUUGUCCGGAAUUACUGGGCGUAAAGGGCUCGUAGGUGGUUUGUCGCGUCGUCUGUGAAAUUCUGGGGCUUAACUCCGGGCGUGCAGGCGAUACGGGCAUAACUUGAGUGCUGUAGGGGUAACUGGAAUUCCUGGUGUAGCGGUGAAAUGCGCAGAUAUCAGGAGGAACACCGAUGGCGAAGGCAGGUUACUGGGCAGUUACUGACGCUGAGGAGCGAAAGCAUGGGUAGCGAACAGGAUUAGAUACCCUGGUAGUCCAUGCCGUAAACGGUGGGCGCUAGGUGUGAGGGUCUUUCUACGACUUUCGUGCCGUAGCUAACGCAUUAAGCGCCCCGCCUGGGGAGUACGG